rnacentral:tRNA from 1 species
GGGGGUAUAGCUCAGUUGGUAGAGCGACGGUCUCCAAAACCGUAGGUCGUGGGUUCGAAUCCCUCUGCCCCUGCCA